UACGAAGGGUGCAAGCGUUAAUCGGAAUUACUGGGCGUAAAGCGUGCGCAGGCGGCUUUGCAAGACAGAUGUGAAAUCCCCGGGCUCAACCUGGGAACUGCAUUUGUGACUGUAUAGCUAGAGUACGGUAGAGGGGGAUGGAAUUCCGCGUGUAGCAGUGAAAUGCGUAGAUAUGCGGAGGAACACCGAUGGCGAAGGCAAUCCCCUGGACCUGUACUGACGCUCAUGCACGAAAGCGUGGGGAGCAAACAGG
rnacentral:rRNA from 1 species